ACGAACGCUGGCGGCAUGCCUAACACAUGCAAGUCGAACGAACCCUUCGGGGUUAGUGGCGCACGGGUGCGUAACGCGUGGGAACCUGCCUUUAGGUUCGGAAUAACUCAGAGAAAUUUGAGCUAAUACCGGAUAAUGUCUUCGGACCAAAGAUUUAUCGCCUUUAGAUGGGCCCGCGUUGGAUUAGCUAGUUGGUGGGGUAAAGGCCUACCAAGGCGACGAUCCAUAGCUGGUCUGAGAGGAUGAUCAGCCACACUGGGACUGAGACACGGCCCAGACUCCUACGGGAGGCAGCAGUGGGGAAUAUUGGACAAUGGGCGAAAGCCUGAUCCAGCAAUGCCGCGUGAGUGAUGAAGGCCUUAGGGUUGUAAAGCUCUUUUACUGGGGAUGAUAAUGACAGUACCCAGAGAAUAAGCUCCGGCUAACUCCGU
rnacentral:rRNA from 1 species